UGCCGGCGACCGGCGGACGGGUGCGUAACGCGUAUGUAACCUACCUUUGACAGGGGGAUAACAUCGAGAAAUUGGUACUAAUACCCCAUAACAUCACCGGAGGCAUCUUCGGUGGUUGAAAACUCAGGUGGUCAGAGAUGGACAUGCGUUAUAUUAGCUAGUUGGUGAGGUAACGGCUCACCAAGGCGACGAUACAUAGGGGGACUGAGAGGUCAACCCCCCACAUUGGUACUGAGACACGGACCAAACUCCUACGGGAGGCAGCAG
rnacentral:rRNA from 1 species